GGCAUAUAACUAAGGGGGCAUAGGAGGUUUUCACAGACUGUUAUUCGUUUAGGUAUGCGCACCGUAACUGAAAAGUAAUCGUCUACAAAAGCUAACUUGUACAUGCCCAUAACCUGGCUAAUUAACGAAUAGCGUGCAAUCUGCCCGCGCACCAGGAUGAAAAGCGAGGAGGGAAAAGGGUCCUGCGCCAUGACUUGCUUGUUGUUGUCCGGAUACCAAAUCAGGUGCCAAAGAUGACACCAAGUAUAUAACGUAUAUAUGUAUAUAUAAACAUUUAUAUAGAUAUACAUUUAUCAUAUUUAACAUCGAAAUCAAAAGCAAGCUAAAUAUUUGGAUUUUAUUUCCGUUCAUAUAUAUUUACUUAUACAAAGCACGCCAAAUAUAUAAAAACUAACUAAAAGCUAUUCGAAAAAUACUGCAAAGUAAAUAAAUUCGAUUUCUGAACAACAAUUAAAAUUGAAAAUGUUUUGGAACAUGGACGGACUGACUUACGUUACUGGGAAAAGGUGUUUUUGUUGUUUUUGUUGAUUUUUUGUUUAAAAAAAAAAGUUUCUUUGGAUUUUGUGUGGUGAGUUGGUUUUAUGACAAACACGAAAGAAAGUAUAUUCUAAAUUGGAUUCAAAACAUGUUUCUUUCAAUAUUUUGUUUCUUUUCUUUUGUGCAGUUAAAAAGCUUCACAAAUUUUGGGUAGAAUUUCUUU